AUGUCUAACUCCGGCAGUUGCGACGUAGUUGGAGCCGGUGUAGAAGUUACAACACAAGACCCGGAGCACUCAUCAUCUGAAAAUGAAGCACAGGCGCCUCCGACACCCACAUCCAGAAUUUCAGUUAAGCGAGCAGUAGAAGUAAUUCAGUUAUUUGAUGGUUACAAGAUGUGGUUGGUUGCAGAAAUUGGAUUUGGUUGUAUGCUAAAGCUCCCUGCGAUCCAACAACUCAACCUAAAAUUCAGUGCAUGGACAAUUAGUAAGGUCAGUAUUAGGCGUUGCGUAAUCAUAUUGACAGAGUCGAACAUUCUAAAGUUUUGGGCCGAAGACGUGCACAAGGUUUUCGGUAUACCAUUUGGGCAUCGAAAUGUUAGAGGACGUGAUGCAUUUAUAAAGCCUGAAGCCAUCCAUUUCAUAAAGAGCACACUUGGGAUGGACAAGACCGGGGUGCAUAGCCUCCGAGCUGCAGAGAAAUUCCUUCUCCAAGACAUCUCUGAGACAUCUAACUAG
rnacentral:rRNA from 1 species